GUGAAUCAUCGAAUUUUUGAACGCAAAUUGCACUCUCCGCGAAUAGUAAGAGUAUUUGAGGGUCAGCCUCUGAAAAUCCACAUAGUUACGGUUUCUGGGUUUCAUUCUUCGGAAAUUGGGUCAGCUUAGGUCCUUUUGAUUUAAGCGGCUUAAAAUUUUCUUAUUUUUCCAUUAACGUUUCUAGGAUCUAGUUCUUACGCGUUUAAGUAAGCGAGUUGUACUAGACAUAAACAUCAGCUCUUGA
rnacentral:misc_RNA from 1 species